rnacentral:rRNA from 1 species
UGGGGAAUAUUGCACAAUGGGCGCAAGCCUGAUGCAGCCAUGCCGCGUGUAUGAAGAAGGCCUUCGGGUUGUAAAGUACUUUCAGCGGGGAGGAAGGUGUUGUGGUUAAUAACCACAGCAAUUGACGUUACCCGCAGAAGAAGCACCGGCUAACUCCGUGCCAGCAGCCGCGGUAAUACGGAGGGCGCAAGAGUUAAUCGGAAUUACUGGGCGUAAAGCGCACGCAGGCGGUCUGUCAAGUCGGAUGUGAAAUCCCCGGGCUCAACCUGGGAACUGCAUCCGAAACUGGCAGGCUUGAGUCUUGUAGAGGGGGGUAGAAUUCCAGGUGUAGCGGUGAAAUGCGUAGAGAUCUGGAGGAAUACCGGUGGCGAAGGCGGCCCCCUGGACAAAGACUGACGCUCAGGUGCGAAAGCGUGGGGAGCAAACA